rnacentral:misc_RNA from 1 species
UUGAAUUGAGUUGAGUUGAGUUGUUUGAAUUUCCUUCUGUCUUGAAACUAUUAAAAGGUUUACUCUAAAUGUUAAAUUUGGAAGAUAUAAAAGAAAUUUGUUUAAUUAAAAAAUUAUAAAUGUGAAUUUGGCUUUUUUCAAGUAAAAAAUUAUAAAAUUUCAACGUAAUGACAUUUAAUUUCCUUGUUAUUUGAAAGAAUAAAUUACUUUUUCAUCCGUGUGUUAUGCCAUAUUUAAUACUUGGGUCCAUAUAUUUUGGAAAAUGGAUGAAAAUGUCUUAAGUUUUCGUUCCAUCAUAUACUUUCGUCUCUUUGCCCAUUUUAUCAAUUUAGUCAUUAGUCAAGGGACCAAAACUUGGUCAAUGAGGGACUAAAAGGCUAUUAAUAAUAAAAACUCAGGGACGAACGUGUUUAUAAUGGUAACAUUUAGGGAUGAAAUAAUAAUUGUUUGAGGAGUAUUAAGGUAUUUUCAGUCUUCAUUAAUGGCAAAAGUUGAGAAAAAUGGAUGGAAGGAUGCAAGUGUAUAGAAAUCAAAAUUUAGGGGUGUUCACAUAUAUUUUUCAAAAUAUCGGGACCCAACUGUUAAUUUUGGCAUAACAUAGGAUGAAAAAGUAAUUUACCUUAGUUGAAAUCCAUAUCUAUCCAAAUGGAGUCUUAUAUCAUUCUAUUUUAUUUUUACAUCCAGAAAUGAAAAUACUUGGUGCUUCCAUUCAGGUUAUUGCUGAUUUCUUGUCCAU